CACUGUUCAAGUAACCCACUGACUUUGAUGUCCAAGGAGGAUGCUAGCAGGCACCUUUGGGGCUAUCUUCUUCCACAUGCAAGGAGCGGGACUGAUCAAAAAAUCUUUCUCCACAAACUCAAGUACCAGAACCUCUGAUCUCAGGAACUCCUGACUCGUGAGGUUACUGUCAAGGUCUCUGGUUCUUCCUCCCAACCAAUGCCUGUAUUUCUCCCACCUCAUCCCCAUGGUUACUCCACUUAGCCUCAGCAGGGUUAAGAACAUAAAAGGCAAAAUACAAAAGCAGAAGUCAGGAACCAAGGUCAAGAUCAAGAACACUGAGGGCCUGAUGAUUUACUCACACUGUCCUGAGGCCAUUGAAAUAUCCCUGGCACCAUGAUUUCUUGUAUUGUGGGAAAGGAGAAGGAUGCCAAUGAUAUUUGGAAUGUCAGCUAAGACCAGAGAUUUAAUGGGAAAGAAGAAGACAAUUGUUUGGAGGCAUCAUGG